rnacentral:rRNA from 1 species
AUUGAACGCUGGCGGCAUGCCUUACACAUGCAAGUCGAACGGCAGCACGGGAGCAAUCCUGGUGGCGAGUGGCGAACGGGUGAGUAAUAUAUCGGAACGUGCCCAGUCGUGGGGGAGUAACGUAGCGAAAGACUACGCUAAUACCGCAUACGAUCUAUGGAUGAAAGACGGGGGAGUCGCAAGACCUCGCGCGAUUGGAGCGGCCGAUAUCAGAUUAGGUAGUUGGUGGGGUAAAAGGACCUACCAAGCCUUCGAUCUGUAGCUGGUCUGAGAGGACGACCAGCACACUGGAACUGAGACACGGUCCAGACUCCUA